rnacentral:misc_RNA from 1 species
CCGAGUUUACAACUCCCAAACCCAAUGUGAACGUUACCAAACUGUUGCCUCGGCGGGGUCACGCCCCGGGUGCGUAAAAGCCCCGGAACCAGGCGCCGCCGGAGGAACCAACCAAACUCUUUCUGUAGUCCCCUCGCGGACGUAUUUCUUACAGCUCUGAGCAAAAAUUCAAAAUGAAUCA